UUAAAUCGAAGCAACGCGAAGAACCUACUCAGGACUUGACAUCCUUUGACGACUAUAGAGAUAUAGUUUCCCUUCGGGGCAAAGAGACAGGUGGGUGCAUGGUUGUCGUCAGCUCGUCUCGUGAGAUGUUGGGUUAAGUCCCGCAACGAGCGCAACCCUUAUUGCUAGUUGCCAUCAUUAAGCUGGGAACUCUAGCGAGACUGCCGUGGACAACACGGAGGAAGGUGGGGACGACGUCAAAUCAUCAUGCCCCUUAUGUCCUGGGCUACACACGUAAUACAAUGGCAACGACAGAGGGCAGCUACCUCGCGAGAGCAAGCGAAUCCCUAAACGUUGUCUCAGUUCGGAUUGCAGGCUGCAACUCGCCUGCAUGAAGUCGGAAUUGCUAGUAAUGGCAGGUCAGCAUACUGCCGUGAUACGUUCCCGGGCCUUGUACACACCGCCCGUCACACCAUGAGAGUCUGCAAUACCCGAAGUCAGUAGUCUAACCGCAAGGGGGACGCUGCCGAAGGUAGGGCCGAUAAU
rnacentral:rRNA from 1 species